CAUCGAGUAUAGCCGCUUCAAUGCGUGGGCUAAAAUGGCAUCUUCGCACAGGCCAUAGUCUUCCCUUUUUAUUAGGUCUACUUACGGACUUAACCAGCAUCGAACAAGUUCAACUGCAAGAGUGUAUGUUGCAUAUGGAGAACAUUUUUGAAGAGCACAGUCGCAACCUGCAGCCGUUUUUUGUUGACAUUCAACCUCCUAACUCUGCAAAAAUGUACUGCCAGAGACGUAAUCAGACUCAUCCAAACCAGCAAUAUCAUCAGCAGCGCCCGCAACGCAUGAGGCAAAUGCCAAUACCCUCCCUAACAUUUACUACUGCUGACACCAACGCUGAUCAAAAUUGCUUUAAGGCUACCCUACCCUAUCGGACGCAAACAUUUAAGAUUCUAGGGCAGGCUAAAAAUGAGUUACAAGACAUACAAUUUUGAGAAAAGUAUUUUUUGAGCUAGUAUACUAAAUAUUAGUAUUUAAAUAUAUAUUAGUUUCCUCCAAGUCUUUGUAAAUUAAAUUACACAUAAAAAAGAAGAACACAUAAUAAUUAACAUUAUUACAUUUUUUUUUUAAGUCUCCUUAUACAAAACGGAAUUUUCUUUAUAUUGCCUCUAUACUUCGAUUUUUGUUGUUUAACUAGCCGGCCCUGCCUCGUUUUGCUGUGGCGCUCAUUGUGGUUGCACGGAUAAGAAAUGAGGACAACUCAGUUGAUUGUUUCUUGAUGGAGAAUAUAAAGAGUUUUGACCUGAUCUCCGACUAUGGCAAUUGAUUCUCCGCUAAUACGGCUACUACGGCUAGUAUUAAAAAAAAUAAAAUAGAAAAUCCAUGGAUAAUUUAAACAGCUGAAAACCAAAUUUGAGACAGAUCGGCUCAGUCAUUCUCAAUUUAUGAAAUCCCGUAAAUUUUUUACUCCAUUUAUAUAUAUAUAACGAUUUAUUAGUAUGGGUAAUUAUGUAACGAAUUACAUUUAAUACAACGUAUUGGUACAAUAAAUUAUAAUAAAAUGCGCUGAACCGGACCGACUGUAAAAAAAUUGUUAAAAAAUAGUUUUCUCUAUACUACAUAUGCAGACACCAGAAGACCUGAUCAAACUUUUCUCUGUACCAGAUGAAAAAAACCAACAUAUUGGCAGUAUUGGCUGUAAAUGCGCAAAAUUACAAGGACAAUUGUCUUCCGACGCUUAAAAAAUUUGUUGAUAGGUAUUAUGCGAAUGAUAAUACCUUCUGCUCAUUAUGCCAGAACAAAUCUGAAGCCUCUUGGCCACUUUUUUUUUUGCUUGUUUUGGGUUCAGAUCCUCCCAUAUAUAUGGGAAUACCUUUGUUGUUUUUUCGGCAAAUUCUUGGCGGAAUUUCCAAAUAUCCGUAUUCACAGGAAAAGCCGUAUGUUUUAUUGACGUGUAGACUAACCACAUAUAAUCGCACAACUCGAAGCCGUUGGAUAAACCUUUCUUUUCUAAGUGUUUUCCUUGACUGUUUUCACAACGUAGCAUUUCUCAUACCAUGCGUCCGUUUUUUCAACGUUACACUGUUUAUUUCUAUCAUUCUCGCAACAUUGUGGGUUUUUUCAACAUUUCUAUGUUUAUUUCAAACAUUGUCGCAACUUUGUCACAUCUGAAGAAGACUGAAGCCACUAUCCUUGAUCUGCUUCCAACUCAUUUGUUAAGCACUUAACAAAGCAUUGAGUUCGUGCCUAAGCUGCAAAACCUGCAAAUGUGCCUCAGUUAAGGCCAGUUAAAAAGUUUUGGGCAAAUUCGAAAACAAAUAUUUACAGAAAGGGAUAUAAGCCAAAAAACAUCGACUGCUUAAUAUUAAAAAUCAAGAACAUCAAUUUGCAAAGUACCCAGCUAGCACAGUAGCAGCAUCGAGUAUAGCCGCUUCAAUGAGUGGGCUAAAAUGGCAUCUUCGCACAGGCCAUAAUCUUCCCUUUUUAUUAGGUCUACUUACGGACUUAACCAGCAUCGAACAAGUUCAACUGCAAGAGUGUAUGUUGCAUAUGGAGAACAUUUUUGAAGAGCACAGUCGCAACCUGCAGCCGUUUUUUGUUGACAUUCAACCUCCUAACUCUGCAAAAAUGUACUGCCAGAGACGUAAUCAGACUCAUCCAAACCAGCAAUAUCAUCAGCAGCGCCCGCAACGCAUGAGGCAAAUGCCAAUACCCUCCCUAACAUUUACUACUGCUGACACCAACGCUGAUCAAAAUUGCUUUAAGGCUACCCUACCCUAUCGGACGCAAACAUUUAAGAUUCUAGGGCAGGCUAAAAAUGAGUUACAAGACAUACAAUUUUGAGAAAAGUAUUUUUUGAGCUAGUAUACUAAAUAUUAGUAUUUAAAUAUAUAUUAGUUUCCUCCAAGUCUUUGUAAAUUAAAUUACACAUAAAAAAGAAGAAUACAUAAUAAUUAACAUUA